ensembl:snRNA U6 U6 spliceosomal RNA
GUGCUUGCUUCAGCCGCACAUGCACUGACAUUGGAAUGGGGCAGAGAAGAUUAGCAUGGCCCCUGUGCAAGGAUGACACGCAAAUCUGUGAAGUGUUCCAUCACUGG